rnacentral:rRNA from 1 species
CAAUAGCGUAUAUUAAAGUUGUUGCAGUUAAAAAGCUCGUAGUUGGAUUUGUGGCGUACAGUGUGUUCCGGGCACUUGUUGUCUGAGUAACCUGCUGUUGCCAUCCUUGGGUGGAACCUGUGUGGCAUUAGGUUGUCGUGCAGGGGAUGCCCAUCAUUUACUGUGAAAAAAUUAGAGUGUUCAAAGCAGGCUUAUGCCGUUGAAUAUAUUAGCAUGGAAUAAUGAGAUAGGACUUUUUUGCUAUUUUGUUGGUUUGCGCAAGAAGGUAAUGAUUAAUAGGGACAGUUGGGGGUAUUCGUAUUCCAUUGUCAGAGGUGAAAUUCUUGGAUUUUUGGAAGACGAACUACUGCGAAAGCAUUUACCAAGGAUGUUUUCAUUUA